GGGGGUAUAGCUCAGUGGUAGAGCAUUUGACUGCAGAUCAAGAGGUCCCAGGUUCAACUCCAGGUGCCACUU
rnacentral:tRNA from 1 species